UAACGCGUGAGGAACCUGCCUCAAAGAGGGGGACAACAGUUGGAAACGACUGCUAAUACCGCAUAAGCCCACAGCUCGGCAUCGAGCAGAGGGAAAAGGAGCAAUCCGCUUUGAGAUGGCCUCGCGUCCGAUUAGCUAGUUGGUGAGGUAAUGGCCCACCAAGGCGACGAUCGGUAGCCGGACUGAGAGGUUGAACGGCCACAUUGGGACUGAGAUACGGCCCAG
rnacentral:rRNA from 1 species